rnacentral:rRNA from 1 species
GGAAUUGUUCGCAAUGGGCGCAAGCCUGACGACGCAACGCCGCGUGGAGGAUGACGGUCUUCGGAUCGUAAACUCCUGUUGCCCGGGACGAACGGCUCCAGCCCAAUACGCUGGAGUGUGACGGUACCGGGGGAGGAGGCCCCGGCUCACUCUGUGCCAGCAGCCGCGGUAAUACAGAGGGGGCGAGCGUUGUUCGGAAUUACUGGGCGUAAAGGGCGCGUAGGCGGCCUGCUAAGUCGAACGUGAAAUCCCCGGGCUCAACUCGGGAACUGCGUCCGAUACUGGCGGGCUCGAAUCCGGGAGAGGGAUGCGGAAUUCCAGGUGUAGCGGUGAAAUGCGUAGAUAUCUGGAGGAACACCGGUGGCGAAGGCGGCAUCCUGGACCGGUAUUGACGCUGAGGCGCGAAAGCCAGGGGAGCAAAC